GUAGGGAAUAUUGGGCAAUGGGCGAAAGCCUGACCCAGCAACGCCGCGUGAGGGAAGAAGGCCUUCGGGUUGUAAACCUCUGUCCUUGGUGACGAAAAAAAUGACGGUAGCCAAGGAGGAAGCCCCGGCUAACUACGUGCCAGCAGCCGCGGUAAUACGUAGGGGGCGAGCGUUGUCCGGAAUUACUGGGCGUAAAGGGUGCGUAGGUGGCCUUUUAAGUUGGAUGUGAAAUACCCGGGCUUAACUUGGGGGGUGCAUCUAAUACUGGAGGGCUAGAGUGCAGGAGAGGGAAGCGGAAUUCCUAGUGUAGCGGUGAAAUGCGUAGAUAUUAGGAGGAACACCAGUGGCGAAGGCGGCUUUCUGGACUGUAACUGACACUGAGGCACGAAAGCGUGGGGAGCAAACAGGAUUAGAUACCCCGGUAGUCC
rnacentral:rRNA from 1 species